AGACCUCUCCCUGUAGAGGAGUUCGCGGCUGAUUAGCUAGUUGGCGGGGUAAAGGCCCACCAAGGCGACGAUCAGUAGCCGGCCUGAGAGGGCGGUCGGCCACACUGGCACUGAAAUACGGCCCAAACUCCUACGGGAGGCAGCAGUGGGGAAUAUUGGACAAUGGGCGCAAGCCUGAUCCAGCCAUGCCGCGUGGGUGAAGAAGGCCUUCGGGUUGUAAAGCCCUUUUGUUGGGAAAGAAAACUUGCCGGCCAAUACCCGGCGAGAAUGACGGUACCCAAAGAAUAAGCACCGGCUAACUUCGUGCCAGCAGCCGCGGUAAUACGAAGGGUGCAAGCGUUACUCGGAAUUACUGGGCGUAAAGCGUGCGUAGGUGGUUCGUUAAGUCUGAUGUGAAAGCCCUGGGCUCAACCUGGGAAUUGCAUUGGAUACUGGCGGGCUAGAGUACGGUAGAGGGUAGU
rnacentral:rRNA from 1 species